UACGUAGGUGGCAAGCGUUGUCCGGAUUUAUUGGGUUUAAAGGGUGCGUAGGCGGCUUUGUAAGUCAGUGGUGAAAUAUGGCAGCUUAACUGUCAAGGUGCCAUUGAUACUGCGGAGCUUGAGUACAGAUGAGGUAGGCGGAAUUGACGGUGUAGCGGUGAAAUGCUUAGAUAUCGUCAAGAACACCUAUAGCGAAGGCAGCUUACUAGGCUGUAACUGACGCUGAGGCACGAAAGUGUGGGGAUCAAACAGG
rnacentral:rRNA from 2 species